AAUCCUCAAAACUAUUGUGUUUUGGAUGGUGGGAGUGUUUGCUGGCUUGAUUUCAAGUCAGCUCUCCUGAAAAACAUUAGCUUGGGGGAAUGUGCCAAGUCAGCUCUGCCUCUCAUUGGUGUGAUAGACACAUUAUCUAUACCAGGAAGUGUGAAGCACUUUGGCCCUCUCUGCUCUCUAACCAAAUUAUGUAACCA
rnacentral:misc_RNA from 1 species